rnacentral:rRNA from 1 species
UUCUGGAAUUUUAAAACUCAAUAGAAAAUACAGUAAUUAACAGGGUCUAAGACAGGCAAGUACUAGUAAAUAGUACUGUUAGUAUUGUUCAAAAUUAACCUCGACCACUGUUUUACCCAUGUUGCAAAUUUCGCAAAAACAGGGACCUGCAUGCAAAAAUGGCAAAGGGAUAAGGUUGCCUCUACUCUCUCUCCUGUGCGGUUCCGCGAUGGGGAUUUUUCUACCGCCGUCUCGAGCGGCCUCGAGGGCUAGCCAGAGAAAGGAGAGGGAGGAUCUUGCCGUGCCGGAAGCCGCCGCCGCAGGGCGCUGGAAAGCGCCGUCACGGGCUUGAGACGCCCAGACGCGGCCGCUUCGGGCUGUGCAGGAGGCCGCCCGGUCGCUAUGUCUUGCCGCGACGUGCCGCCGGAGAGCGCCGUUGGUGGCGGCAGGACUCAACGCGGAGGUGUGAUCCGGUGGCGCGGCAGGAGACGAAGCCGCUGGAGCCGGCGUCUUGGUCCAGCGGGGACUGAAACCAGGCGAUGUCUCUUGCUGUGGAUGCCUUCGUCCUUCGUCCAGCGUAUGGCAAGAUUCUGUUCAUGGUAAAGCAAAUUUGUGUAGCCAUGAAGAAAAUUGGAAAAGUAGUAGCUUGUUUCUCUGUAGCAAUUAGAUGAAGUUGGUACUCCAAUUUGCGUGGUGCUUGACUCCAGUCUCCGAUUCUCUUCUUCUUCCCAUCUUGGAGUUUGUUCGUCGGAUUUGCUGCCGCUCUCCAUCGGGACGCUGCUAUUCGCCCCGUUCUUCUCGCGUGGCAUCUCUCUCGGGAGAGUCGUGCGCCUGUUUCCUCACACACGCGCACCGAAGGAAGUAGUUGCGGAUGGCCGGACGAGAGUCGUGGCCUCGAACGCCACCGCCCGAGAUGGGCUCUGCACGCACAUCCGCCAGGAUGCGGCCUGGACGUGCGCCAAAGCCGUCGCAGGCAGGGCGCCGCUGGAGUCGCCGUGCGGGAGCGUGCUGAUAACGUGUUAAUACUCGGCGUGUGAAACAAAGAUGAAUGAAUAGUAA